rnacentral:rRNA from 1 species
GAUAGCGGCUGGAAACGGCCGGUAAAACCGCAUGAGCGCACAGUACCGCAUGGUACGGUGUGAAAAACUCCGGUGGUACGGGAUGGACCCGCGUCCGAUUAGCCAGUUGGCGGGGCAACGGGCCCACCAAAGCGACGAUCGGUAGCCGGCCUGAGAGGGCGUACGGCCACAUUGGGACUGAGACACGGCCCAGACUCCUACGGGAGGCAGCAGUGGGGAAUAUUGCACAAUGGGGGAACCCUGAUGCAGCGACGCCGCGUGAGCGAAGAAGUAUCUCGGUAUGUAAAGCUCUAUCGGCAGGGAAGACAAUGACGGUACCUGCACAAGAAGCCCCGGCUAACUACGUGCC